GUGAUAAUAAGUGAGAAAAUUGCUGUGCAGCCUCAACAACAGCGACUGUUCAUCCGAAGAAACUUUCGUAACUUUGAGCUCCAUAAUUUGCUGACACUUCACGACUGUGGAAUUCAUCAGGACGAGAACAUCUCACUCCGUCUGUGCACUGAUGGCCUACUGGGUGGUGGACUAAAAGACAAACACCCUGUCGAUGAUCAGUUCUUUCGGGACUUGGCUUCGAGCACUGAAUCAUCCUGGGAAGAACUGGCAAAACUACUGGGAUUUGAAGAAGCAGAAAUCAAGCAAAUCCAAACCAACUCACAAGACAACAAAAA